UCAGAUUAUGACCUACUUAAUCCAUCCACUCUUCCAGGGAGUUCAACCGUACCACAUGUUUAUCGGGAAUCAAACACGGGCUUGGCUGAGUAUGCUGUAGUUAGUAAACAAGGAGACGGGAAGAAAGGACAGUCGUUGGUUUCACAUGCAGAAAUCGAAAAGAUUCAUCAUAAUGUGGAAGCCGAGUACGCAGUGGUUGAUAAAUAAAAGAAAAGAAAUCACAAGAGGCGAUAAUCUAAGGAUUAUGGAGGAAGAUAUGUCAUUGUGAAAUCUGAAUACCGACGGUGAAUUUUAAUGAUUGAAAAUCAUCAUAGAUAAGGGAGCAACAGCCACACUUGGUCUAAAUUUAAAAUGAUGAAGAUCCGUAGAAUAGCUAAUUAAUAUAUACAUGCACUUUCACACCCACCCACACACACACACACACACGCCCGAGCAAGCGAACCCAUACCAACAUGAUCUGACCUGUUGACGAUGUACAAUACAUGAAGUUCAAUCAAAUCUUGAGUACACGGAGCCAGAGUAAGAGCACUUGUGUAUAACUGAAUCAAACGGCGUGCUGUGUGAUAUGAUGUACAAAUUGGCCCGGAUUCUCAAAAGACAUGAAAGGGGUUUCAGUUUUACCAUGGAGCAAAAACCAUACACUUUGCUGAUUAUUAAACAUUAUUAUGCUUAUUUCAUCGCAUAAACAAAGUUAAUUCCAAUUAAAUACGCGCUUUCGGCGAAGGGCGCUUAAAAUGAAGCGCGUUAAAGAAAUAAAUCUGCAUAGUCAAUGGUUUUGUACCAUGGUACAAUUGAAACCUCUUUUGAGAAUUCGGGCAAUUAAGUAUGUUAUGCCUGCAAAGGGAAUGCAAAAAAAAAUGUUUCGUAAUAUUAAAAUUCAAUUCGUCUUCUCAAAAAUUAGUCAAUAAAGUAAAUGCAUAAUAUAUAACAGAUAAACGAAUAUAUUAAAGCAGUUAUUAGACCAAUUUGACGCACAACAAGUUUUAUGUACUAAAAUGCAUUAACAUUAUAUCAAAGUUUGAAUAGAACUGUUCUUUGCAUGUUUUAUUAGAGCGAAAAUUAUUUCAUGUUCACUUCCGUUUAAGUGCUUUGGCGCGGCCACGUAUUCUAAAAUCAGUUUGAAACAGUGUAUAGCGGGAUGGAAAAUAGAGAUUUGUUUGUUUGGGUUAAGAAGUUCGUUCGCCUUC